rnacentral:rRNA from 1 species
UUAAGUUAUUAAGGGCGCACGGUGGAUGCCUUGGCACUAGAAGCCGAUGAAGGACGUUACUAACGACGAUAUGCUUUGGGGAGCUGUAAGUAAGCUUUGAUCCAGAGAUUUCCGAAUGGGGAAACCCAGCAUGAGUUAUGUCAUGUUAUCGAUAUGUGAAUACAUAGCAUAUCAGAAGGCACACCCGGAGAACUGAAACAUCUUAGUACCCGGAGGAAGAGAAAGAAAAUUCGAUUCCCUUAGUAGCGGCGAGCGAAACGGGAAGAGCCCAAACCAACAAGCUUGCUUGUUGGGGUUGUAGGACACUCUGUACGGAGUUACAAAGGACGACAUUAGACGAAUCAUCUGGAAAGAUGAAUCAAAGAAGGUAAUAAUCCUGUAGUCGAAAAUGUUGUCUCUCUUGAGUGGAUCCUGAGUACGACGGAGCACGUGAAAUUCCGUCGGAAUCUGGGAGGACCAUCUCCUAAGGCUAAAUACUCUCUAGUGACCGAUAGUGAACCAGUACCGUGAGGGAAAGGUGAAAAGCACCCCGGUAGGGGAGUGAAAUAGAACCUGAAACCGUGUGCUUACAAGUAGUCAGAGCCCGUUAAUGGGUGAUGGCGUGCCUUUUGUAGAAUGAACCGGCGAGUUACGAUUUGAUGCAAGGUUAAGCAGUAAAUGUGGAGCCGUAGCGAAAGCGAGUCUGAAUAGGGCGUUUAGUAUUUGGUCGUAGACCCGAAACCAGGUGAUCUACCCUUGGUCAGGUUGAAGUUCAGGUAACACUGAAUGGAGGACCGAACCGACUUACGUUGAAAAGUGAGCGGAUGAACUGAGGGUAGCGGAGAAAUUCCAAUCGAACCUGGAGAUAGCUGGUUCUCUCCGAAAUAGCUUUAGGGCUAGCCUCAAGUGAUGAUUAUUGGAGGUAGAGCACUGUUUGGACGAGGGGCCCCUCUCGGGUUACCGAAUUCAGACAAACUCCGAAUGCCAAUUAAUUUAACUUGGGAGUCAGAACAUGGGUGAUAAGGUCCGUGUUCGAAAGGGAAACAGCCCAGACCACCAGCUAAGGUCCCAAAAUAUAUGUUAAGUGGAAAAGGAUGUGGCGUUGCCCAGACAACUAGGAUGUUGGCUUAGAAGCAGCCAUCAUUUAAAGAGUGCGUAAUAGCUCACUAGUCGAGUGACACUGCGCCGAAAAUGUACCGGGGCUAAACAUAUUACCGAAGCUGUGGAUUGUCCUUUGGACAAUGGUAGGAGAGCGUUCUAAGGGCGUUGAAGCAUGAUCGUAAGGACAUGUGGAGCGCUUAGAAGUGAGAAUGCCGGUGUGAGUAGCGAAAGACGGGUGAGAAUCCCGUCCACCGAUUGACUAAGGUUUCCAGAGGAAGGCUCGUCCGCUCUGGGUUAGUCGGGUCCUAAGCUGAGGCCGACAGGCGUAGGCGAUGGAUAACAGGUUGAUAUUCCUGUACCACCUAUAAUCGUUUUAAUCGAUGGGGGGACGCAGUAGGAUAGGCGAAGCGUGCGAUUGGAUUGCACGUCUAAGCAGUAAGGCUGAGUAUUAGGCAAAUCCGGUACUCGUUAAGGCUGAGCUGUGAUGGGGAGAAGACAUUGUGUCUUCGAGUCGUUGAUUUCACACUGCCGAGAAAAGCCUCUAGAUAGAAAAUAGGUGCCCGUACCGCAAACCGACACAGGUAGUCAAGAUGAGAAUUCUAAGGUGAGCGAGCGAACUCUCGUUAAGGAACUCGGCAAAAUGACCCCGUAACUUCGGGAGAAGGGGUGCUCUUUAGGGUUAACGCCCAGAAGAGCCGCAGUGAAUAGGCCCAAGCGACUGUUUAUCAAAAACACAGGUCUCUGCUAAACCGUAAGGUGAUGUAUAGGGGCUGACGCCUGCCCGGUGCUGGAAGGUUAAGAGGAGUGGUUAGCUUCUGCGAAGCUACGAAUCGAAGCCCCAGUAAACGGCGGCCGUAACUAUAACGGUCCUAAGGUAGCGAAAUUCCUUGUCGGGUAAGUUCCGACCCGCACGAAAGGCGUAACGAUUUGGGCACUGUCUCAACGAGAGACUCGGUGAAAUCAUAGUACCUGUGAAGAUGCAGGUUACCCGCGACAGGACGGAAAGACCCCGUGGAGCUUUACUGUAGCCUGAUAUUGAAAUUCGGCACAGCUUGUACAGGAUAGGUAGGAGCCUUUGAAACGUGAGCGCUAGCUUACGUGGAGGCGCUGGUGGGAUACUACCCUAGCUGUGUUGGCUUUCUAACCCGCACCACUUAUCGUGGUGGGAGACAGUGUCAGGCGGGCAGUUUGACUGGGGCGGUCGCCUCCUAAAAGGUAACGGAGGCGCUCAAAGGUUCCCUCAGAAUGGUUGGAAAUCAUUCAUAGAGUGUAAAGGCAUAAGGGAGCUUGACUGCGAGACCUACAAGUCGAGCAGGGUCGAAAGACGGACUUAGUGAUCCGGUGGUUCCGCAUGGAAGGGCCAUCGCUCAACGGAUAAAAGCUACCCCGGGGAUAACAGGCUUAUCUCCCCCAAGAGUUCACAUCGACGGGGAGGUUUGGCACCUCGAUGUCGGCUCAUCGCAUCCUGGGGCUGUAGUCGGUCCCAAGGGUUGGGCUGUUCGCCCAUUAAAGCGGUACGCGAGCUGGGUUCAGAACGUCGUGAGACAGUUCGGUCCCUAUCCGUCGUGGGCGUAGGAAAUUUGAGAGGAGCUGUCCUUAGUACGAGAGGACCGGGAUGGACAUACCUCUGGUGUACCAGUUGUCGUGCCAACGGCAUAGCUGGGUAGCUAUGUGUGGACGGGAUAAGUGCUGAAAGCAUCUAAGCAUGAAGCCCCCCUCAAGAUGAGAUUUCCCAACUUCGGUUAUAAGAUCCCUCAAAGAUGAUGAGGUUAAUAGGUUCGAGGUGGAAGCAUGGUGACAUGUGGAGCUGACGAAUACUAAUCGAUCGAAGACUUAAUCAA